CAACUCAGUGUGCCAACACUUUCAUUUUUUCAUCACAUCGUUCCUUCUCUCUUCAUCCUUCUGCAAACCCAGGAAUCCAAACCCGCAAAUCCAAAUCCAUUUUUCAUCCUUCAACAUUCCUUCAACAUUCGUUUUUUAUCAAACCCAACCACAUUUAACCUUCAUCCUUCGUGAAAACAAACGUUUUCAUCCUUCCACAUUUAACCUUCAUCCUUCAGUGAAAAUGUGAAUCGUCGGCGAGUUGAUCCGCCGCAGCUUUCAGUCAAUUUCUUUCAGAACUCAAAACAAGGGCGUAAAGCAACUCGUCUCUAAUAGAGCAUGUUGUUCGGAGUCAAGAAGGGCAAUGCAUUCGGAUGCUUCAUUUAGGAGGAAUUCCAGUACAUCAUGGCGUGGAUAACCAUAAACAUAACCAAAUGCAAAUGGAAUUGAAAUGAAUGAGAUUUAGGAGAGGAAGAAGAAGAAGCAGACGAGUACGGUUAUCAUCAUUCUGGUCAACAUAUCCAGAAUUCCGGCUCGGUGCAUCCUGCUAUAAUGCGCCUGAUGCUCAGAGAUGCCAUGCUCCGGCUCCGUAACAAUGGCUUCAGCAUCCUAGCCCUCGCUAUGAAGGUGAAGUACGCCGAGCUUGUGACUCUUAACAAAAACAAUAUGACGGUCUUCGCCGUUGACGACCUUUCGAUCUUCUCCGGUUCUCACUCUUAUAUCAUAUCAGCAACAUCAGGUUCCACAUUGUGCCGAACCAUUUCUUGUCGAGAAGUGUUUGUGGCUUUCUCCGGGUUGUCUCUGUUGGCUACCCAAACAACUGUUUGCUGGGUGAUUUUUUUGUACCAUAUACCUAUGUAAUAGUUAGAGGAAUUACCGGUCUUGAAGUAAUCCAGUUCAAAGAUUUCCCCUUCAGAGACUAGAGUUUGAUCACCAGAGAAAGGUAUCAGUUGGUAGAAUAAUUAACAAGUUAAUGAAACAUGCUACCAACAAUUGAAACAUGGAAGAAAAACUGUUUCUUCUUCCUCGGAUCUGCACGAUGCCGUCCCGAAGAAGAACUCUGUUGAAGGUCAUCAUUCUCGGUGACAGCGGGGCGGGGAAGACGUCUUUAUGAAUCAAUAUGUGAAUAAGAAGUUUAGCAAUCAGUAUAAGGCAACCAUUGGAGCGGAUUUCUUAACCAAAGAAGUGCAAUUUGAAGAUAGGCUUUUCACUUUACAGAGUGAAUAUGAUUCUAUUGGGGCUCAAAAGUACAUAUAAAAUAAGUUGCAGCAGGAUCAAAAAGAGUGUUAUCUAUUACCUUAUCUCAACAAUUGUCAUUGGCAAUUGCUCGUUAUUUGUCCUAAGAAGAAUACUAUAGUCUUCUUAUGUUCGUUGGGAAGGAAACCAAAUAAAAAUAUCACGCACAUCGUCGAUUUAGCUUUGGGUGAAUAUAAUAAGUCGCGAAGAUUAAGAAAGAACAAGCCCACAUGGAGCAUUCCCAUUUGUUAAAGACAACCUAAAGGUUAUGAGUGUGGUUACUACAUUAUGAUACAUAUGUUGAACAUUGUAUCUAGUGGUCUUGUUGAUUCAUGGAUGCGGAUAUUUGGAGAAUCAAAACCAUUCGAAGAUGAAGAAAUGAUGAAUGUCCGACAACGCUGUGCAAACUUGAUUUUUAAACUAAUAGAAAAUGCUUGAAGCACUUGUAUCAUUUUAGUAUCUUUAGAUUGUUAAUAGAAGAUAAUGUUUUUUUUUAACUAGUGAAUAUUAUGUAGCUCUAAAUUUGAUAAUUUAGAUUUUGUAAAAAAAUUAUGACUCAUUGUCAUUGAUUUUUAAAUGUAAAGCUUCAUAUGAAGUUUUGUGUUUUAUGCUUGAA